rnacentral:lncRNA from 1 species
CAAAAGACAGUCUUCCCCUCUGUCUAGAGCCCAGAUCAAGUCUGAGCAGGUGCACACCGCCUUGUAAAAUCCAGGGUGUGUCCUUUACCCAGGAAGUCACCCUCCUCCCUCCCUCCCCACUCCUCCGCACCGCCCCCCCUUCGCCUGGGACAGCUGUUAAUAGGACAAUUACCCAAGAAGCAGCAGCAAGAUCCCGUGCUGAUGUGUCAUCAGUCCUGGUAUAUCCAUUAAAUCAGACCGAGAGGACCACUGGAAAAAGAAACGCUGUUGCUGCCACCAGCAGGCACAUCCAUCCUCCAGUCGCCUGGCCACGAUGGCGCCUGCCAGGAAACCCUCAGAGAAGGACAUGUGGCAAGGCAGAUUGCUGUGACUCGGAGUUCCUUUGGAAUAGCAGGAAUUGCUUUUUCCCCUAAGGGGAAAUCCAACCUUUCUGCUACUCUGGUUGCCCAUUAGUUUUCCUUUCUUUAAAAAUGUUUGUCAGGAGUUCCCGUCGUGGCGCAGUGAUUAACGAAUCUGACUAGGAACCAUGAGGUUGCGGGUUCGGUCCCUGGCCUUGCUCAGUGGGUUAGGGAUCUGGCGUUGCCAUGACCUGUGGUGUAGGUCGAAGACAUGGCUCAGAUCCUGCGUUGCUGUGGCUGUGGCGUAGGCCAUCAGCUAUAGCUCCAAUUAGACCCCUAGCCUGAGAACUUCCAUAUGCUGUAGAAGCAGCCCUAGAAAAGGCAAAAAGACAAAAAAAAAAAAAAAGAAGAUACUUCUCAAUCCUGGCUGCACAUUAGAAUCACCUGGGGGGUUGUAAAAAAAAUAUCAGUGCCCAGGUCCCACGCCCAACCAGUUAAAUCAGGGUCUCCCAGAGCAGCCCUGGGCAUUGGGAUUUUGUAAAAGCUCUUUAGAUGAUUCUUAUGUGCAGCCAGAGUAGAGAAUCACUAGCUUGGAGCAAGAAGCCAAGUUGGGUAAAACAGAAGAGCCAUGGCAAAGCACGAGCACAGACUAGAAUCACCACUGGAUUUUAGGAUGCACCCUUUCUCAUCCUUUUUAUUUGUUUGUUUGCUUUUUUACGGCCACACUUGUGGCACAUGGGGGUUCCCAGGCUAGGGGUCGAAUAGGAGCUAGAGCUGCCGGCCUACCCCACAGCCACAGCAACGCCAGAUCCGAGCUGCAUCUGUAACCUACACCACCACUCAUGGCAACGCCGGAUCCUUAACCCACUGAGCGAGGCCAGGGAUUGAACCCGAAACCUCAUGGUUCCUAGUCGGAUUCGCUUCCUCUGCACCAUGACGGGAACUCCCCCUUUCUCAAUCCUAAUGUGUUCUCAUCCUGGGCCUAUCCAGUGAAAACAUCUCAGUGGUCAUUUAUGCCUUGGUAUAACAUUUUAUGAAGCUGAGUUCAGCCAUCCCAUAUGUCUCACCACAUCAUCCCAAGCAGUGUUGGGUAGUUGUCUUUGCAUAGCUCUCAGUGUGGCAUGUUGCAAUCAGCAAGGGGCUAUUGUGAGGUGGGGAAAGUAGGUGUUUUGGACUCAAUGCUGCAUUCAGAAAUCUAGCUCAGCCACUUACUAGCCAGGCCCUCCUGAGCUAAAAUGGAGAUAACAAUAUACAGGGUCACAAAGUUUAAAAAUUGGAUCCUGGGAGUUCCUAUCAUGGCUCAGAGUUCCCAUCGUGGCUCAAUGGUUAACGAAUCUGACUAGCAUCGAUGAAGACACAGGUUCAAUCCCUGGCCUCGCUCAGCAGGUUAAGGAUCCGGCAUUGCUGUGAGCUGUGGUGUAGGUAGGCAGCUGCAGCUGCUUCAGCCAUUUGACCCCUAGUCUGGAGACUUCCAUAUGCCACAGGUGCAGCCCUAACAUAAUAAUAAUAAUAAAAUAAAAAUCGGAUCCCGUGUAUAAAGCCA